GCGAGUAUAGUUAAAUGGUUAUAACAACUACCUUCCACGUAGUUAUUAUCAGUUCGAGUCCGAUUAUUCGUA